UACGUAGGGGGCAAGCGUUGUCCGGAAUUAUUGGGCGUAAAGAGCGUGUAGGCGGUCCGGUAAGUCAGCUGUGAAAGUCAAGGGCUCAACCCUUGAAAGCCGGUUGAUACUGUCGGGCUAGAGUCCGGAAGAGGCGAGUGGAAUUCCCGGUGUAGCGGUGAAAUUCGUAGAUAUUGGGAAGAACACCGAUGGCGAAGGCAGCCAUCUGGACCGACACUGACGCUGAGGCGCGAAAGCGUGGGGAGCAAACAGG
rnacentral:rRNA from 1 species